ensembl:lncRNA
UCACAUUGCACCUCUCAGGAGUAAUGCUGAAUCCUUAAGGUGGCACUGUGUGUACCAGCACUGAUGUUCUGCAAGGACUAGAAGAAACUUCUGAGGGAAGCACACUGGUCAAGGCUGCCAUGUAUGGAACUGUGAGACCACAGAAUGGUCUGCAUCUUGCCCUUAGUUUCACCUGUCUUUGAAGACAGAAUGGGAUUUGACUUGAGAGUAUGAAGACAGACCAGGGCACCAGACCACCUGCAAUAGCAAUGAUCAGUUCCAUGGAGAAAGCUUGGAGAAAGCUGUUCCAUAGAAACUUUUAGAUGAACACUCAAUGAAAAGAAAGUCAUCUUGCUCCUCAGUGUGACUGCAUGAAAAUCUACUGGGACAAGUUCACAUGAAUAACUGGCACAGAGGCAAGCAUGGAUCGUAAUUUUAUGUGUUCUUAAGUGGCUUAGCUUUUCUGGUGCAACUUUGUUUUGGGAUCAGUGCUCAGUAAUAUGUAUAGGUCUCUACAUUUGCUUGAAAAGCCUCAUGUUACAUUACUGAAACAACAGGCAAAAGACUCACUGACAAUAGCUUUAUUCAACCUUGCUGAAAAUGUUAAGUCCUGUAACAAUAAAGGCUUAACUGUUCUACAGGCUGGC